UGAAAUAUAGGACUUCUCUUCCCAAUUCUUCCCAGAGUUGGGAAAAGCUGGUUGAGAGGGCAAAAUAUAAAUAAU
rnacentral:pre_miRNA from 1 species